rnacentral:rRNA from 1 species
UACGGAGGGUGCAAGCGUUAUCCGGAUUCACUGGGUUUAAAGGGUGCGUAGGAGGGCAGGUAAGUCCGUGGUGAAAUCUCCGAGCUUAACUCGGAAACUGCCGUGGAUACUACCGGUCUUGAAUAUCGUGGAGGUGAGCGGAAUAUGUCAUGUAGCGGUGAAAUGCUUAGAUAUGACAUAGAACACCAAUUGCGAAGGCAGCUCACUACACGAAUAUUGACUCUGAGGCACGAAAGCGUGGGGAUCAAACAGG